CCACAAACUUAAUUAUCAAUUGAGUCUUAGUAUGAAAAUCUACUAUGUGGUAACUUUCAAAUUUAGAGAAAUCCCAAAAUUAAUAAAAAUGGACAAUUUUGAGCCAAAUCCUAUUUUCCCCAAAACAAAGCUUACGAAAGAAAAAUGUUAGGUGGAGACUUAAUGGAAGAUAUUCUAUCAAAUAGAGUGGUUGGUAUAAGAAUAUUUUCAUCGAAACUUCAGAAAGGAUGAAGG
rnacentral:ncRNA from 1 species